rnacentral:rRNA from 1 species
AAUUAAGAGUUUGAUUCUAGCUCAGGAUGAACGCUGGCGGCGUGGGUAAGGCAUGCAAGUCAAACGGCCCGCAAGGGCAGUGGCGAACGAGGUAGUACAAAGUAGGUAACGACCCUGGAAGUCAGGAAUAACUAGUCGAAAGAUUAGCUAAUACUUGAUGGUCUCGCGAGAGUAAAGAUUUAUCGCUUCCAGAUCGGCCUGCUCGAUAUCAGCUAGUUGGUAGGGUAAUGGCCUACCAAGGCAAUGACGUCUAGGGGAGCUGAGAGGCUGACCCCCACCGAUGGUACUGAGAUACGGACCAUACACCUACGGGUGGCCGCAGUCGAGAAUCUUCCGCAAUGGACGCAAGUCUGACGGAGCGACGCCGCGUGAUCGAUGAAGUUCUUCGGAACGUAAAGAUCUUUUAUGAGGGAGAAAGUUUAUUGAUAGUACCUCAAGAAUAAGGGGUUGCUAAACUCGUGCCAGCAGCAGCGGUAAUACGAGUGCCCCGAGCGUUAUCCGGAAUUAUUGGGCGUAAAGGGUGUGUAGGUGGUUUUGUUAGUCUCUUGUUAAACCUCCCGGCUCAACCGGGAAGAUGCAAGGGAAACGGCAAAACUAGAGGAUGCGAGGGGUCUGUGGAACUCAUGGUGUAGCGGUGAAAUGCGUUGAUAUCAUGGGGAACACCAAAAGCGAAGGCAGCAGACUGGAGCACUCCUGACACUGAAACACGAAAGCGUGGGUAGCGAAUGGGAUUAGAUACCCCAGUAGUCCACGCCCUAAACGAUCUUCUCUGGUUUUUCGGAGUAUCGACCCUCUGAGAGACGAAGCUAACGCGUUAAGAGAAGCGCCUGGGUAGUACGACCGCAAGGUUAAAACUCAAAGAAAUAGACGGGGACUUGCACAAGCGGUGGAUCAUGUGGUUUAAUUCGACGAUAAACGAAGAACCUUACCAAGAUUUGAAACCUAGUUGAAGACAAGAGGAAACUUUUGUCGCCGCAAGGCAAUUAGGCAGGUGAUGCAUGGCCGUCGUCAGUUCGUGGUUUGAAUUGUUCCCUUAAGUGGGGUAACGAACGCAACCCUCGUUGCCUGUUAUAUAUGUCAGGCGAGACUGCCCUCGAUUUUGUUUAUGAGCUCUGCUCGUAAGUAAAAUCGAGGGAGGAAGGCGAGGAUGACGCCAGGUCAGCAUGUCCCUCUGAUAUCUUGGGCUACACACGUGAUACAAUGCCCGGUACAACAGGUUGCAAUACCGCAAGGUGGAGCCAAUCCUUAUAAGCCGGGCCCAGUUCGGAUUGAAGUCUGCAACUCGACUUCAUGAAGCCGGAAUCGCUAGUAAUCGCAGGUCAGCUAUACUGCGGUGAAUACGUUCUCAAGUCUUGUACUCA